ACACUCCUGCGGGAGGCAACAGUGGGGAAUAUUGGACAAUGGGCGCAAGCCUGAUCCAGCCAUGCCGCGUGAGUGAUGAAGGCCCUAGGGUUGUAAAGCUCUUUCACCGGUGAAGAUAAUGACGGUAACCGGAGAAGAAGCCCCGGCUAACUUCGUGCCAGCAGCCGCGGUAAUACGAAGGGGGCUAGCGUUGUUCGGAUUUACUGGGCGUAAAGCGCACGUAGGCGGACUAUUAAGUCAGGGGUGGAAUCCCGGGGCUCAACCCCGGAACUGCCUUUGAUACUGGUAGUCUUGAGUUCGAGAGAGGUGAGUGGAAUUCCGAGUGUAGAGGUGAAAUUCGUAGAUAUUCGGAGGAACACCAGUGGCGAAGGCGGCUCACUGGCUCGAUACUGACGCUGAGGUGCGAAAGCGUGGGGAGCAAACAGGAUUAGAAACCCGAGUAGUCCCAUGA
rnacentral:rRNA from 1 species